rnacentral:rRNA from 1 species
GAUGAACGCUGGCGGCGUGCCUAAUACAUGCAAGUCGAGCGAACGGACGCGAAGCUUGCUUCUCUGAUGUUAGCGGCGGACGGGUGAGUAACACGUGGAUAACCUACCUAUAAGACUGGGAUAACUUCGGGAAACCGGAGCUAAUACCGGAUAAUAUUUUGAACCGCAUGGUUCAAAAGUGAAAGACGGUCUUGCUGUCACUUAUAGAUGGAUCCGCGCUGCAUUAGCUAGUUGGUAAGGUAACGGCUUACCAAGGCAACGAUGCAUAGCCGACCUGAGAGGGGGAUCGGCCACACUGGAACUGAGACACGGUCCAGACUCCUACGGGAGGCAGAAGUAGGGAAUCUUCCGCAAUGGGCGAAAGCCUGACGGAGCAACGCCGCGUGAGUGAUGAAGGUCUUCGGAUCGUAAAACGCUGUUAUUAGGGAAGAACAUAUGUGUAAGUAACUGUGCACAUCUUGACGGUACCUAAUCAGAAAGCAACGGCUAACUACGUG